rnacentral:lncRNA from 1 species
GAGUUCUUAGUAAUUUCGGAGGAGCCUGUGGGGUGCAGAGGAUCCGAAACAGCUUCGGAGGGGUCUACGGAGUGCGAAGGGUCUGAAGGGGCAACGAUGGUGAUCGAGGUACAACAGCAGGCUCAAUAGAGCAGCAUUGGAUGGUUGGCCUCAGUGAGUUGGGUACAGAGUCAAUUUUUGUGGCGUCAGGAGGACUUCGGUUCAGGUAGAGUAUCGGACAGAGGUGACUUCACAAGAGG